rnacentral:rRNA from 1 species
UACAGAGGUCCCAAGCGUUGUUCGGAUUCACUGGGCGUAAAGGGUGCGCAGGUGGGUUUGCAAGUUCGGUGUGAAAGCCCCGGGCUUAACCCGGGAAUGGCAUUGGAUACUGCAGAUCUGGAGGUUCGGAGGGGGGACUGGAAUUCUUGGUGUAGCAGUGAAAUGCGUAGAUAUCAAGAGGAACACCAGUGGCGAAGGCGACUUACUGGACACAUAUUGACGCUGAGGUGCGAAAGCGUGGGGAGCAAACAGG